rnacentral:rRNA from 1 species
GACGAACACUGGCGGCGUGCUUAACACAUGCAAGUCGAACGGAGUGGCGAACGGGUGAGUAACCCGUGGGUGACCUGCCCUGCACUUCGGGAUAAGCAUGGGAAAAUGGGACGAAUAACGGAUAGUGGGGGAGGGGCCCGCGGCCUAUCAGCUUGUGGGUGGGGUAAGGGCCUACCAAGGCGGCGACGGGUAGCCGGCCUGGGAGGGUGGACGGCCACAUGCGGACUGAGACACGGCCCAGACUCCUACGGGAGGCAGCAGUGGGGAAUAUUGCACCAUGGGCGGAAGCCUGAUGCAGCGACGCCGCGUGGGGGAUGACGGCCUUCGGGUUGUAAACUCCUUUCACCAUCGACGCGGUAGAUGGAGAAGAAGCACCGGCUAACUACGUGCCAGCAGCCGCGGUAAUAC